CACGUACUCCCUCCGUCCGAAAAAGCUUGUCCCAAACUUGUUCCUCAAAUGGGUGUAUCUAGCACUAAUUUGAUGCUAGAUACAUCCAUUUAAGGAACAAUCUUUUCCGCACGGAGGGAGUAUAUC
rfam:Triticum aestivum genome assembly, contig: Triticum_aestivum_CS42_TGACv1_scaffold_225252_3B